rnacentral:rRNA from 1 species
UUCGCAAUGCCCGAAAGGGUGACGAAGCGACGCCGCGUGCGGGAAGAAGGCCUUCGGGUUGUAAACCGCUGUCGGGAGUUAGGAAAUGCAAGGAUGUUAAUAGCGUCUUUGCUUGACUAAGGCUCCGGAGGAAGCCACGGCUAACUCUGUGCCAGCAGCCGCGGUAAUACAGAGGCGGCAAGCGUUGUUCGGAAUUAUUGGGCGUAAAGAGCACGUAGGCGGCUGUGUAAGUCGGUUGUGAAAGCCUUCCGCUCAACGGGAGAACGGCAUCCGAUACUGCAUGGCUCGAGUGCGGGAGGGGAGAGUGGAACUUCUGGUGGAGCGGUGAAAUGCGUAGAUAUCAGAAGGAACACCGGCGGCGAAGGCGACUCCCUGGCCCGUAACUGACGCUGAGUGUGCGAAAGCUAGGGGAGCAAACGGGAUUAGAUACCCCGGUAGUCCUAGCCGUAAACGAUGGGCACUAAGUAGAGGGGUUUU